rnacentral:rRNA from 1 species
AUUGAACGCUGGCGGCAGGCCUAACACAUGCACGUCGGGCGAGAGGCGGACGGGUAAGUAAUGUAUGGGGAUCUGCCUGAUGGAGGGGGAUAACUACUGUAAACGGUAGCUAAUACCGCAUAACAUCAGAUGAACCCAUAUGGGAUUAGCUUGUAGGUGAGGUAACGGCUCACCUAGGGGCCGAGCCCUAGCUGGUUGGAUAGGAUGAUAAGCCACACGUGGAGUGAGACACGGUCCAGACUCCUACGUUAGGCAGCAUUGGGGAAUAUGGCACAAUGGGCGCAAGCCUGAUGCAGCCAUGCCGCGUGUAUGAAGAAGGCCUUCGGGUUGUAAAGUACUUUCAGUCGGGAGGCGUUACCGACAGAAGAAGCACCGGCUAAGUCCGUGCCAGCAGCCGCGGUAAUAC